rnacentral:rRNA from 1 species
GACGAACGCUGGCGGCGCGCUUAACACAUGCAAGUCGAACGGAAAGGCCUGCUUUCCCUUGUGGAUUGCGGGUACUCGAGUGGCGAACGGGUGAGUAACACGUGAGUGAUCUGCCCCCAACUUGGGUAUAAGCCUGGGAAACUGGGUCUAAUUCCCGAUAGGACUGCAGGGUGGUGCCUGUGGUGGAAAACGAUUUUCUAGUGGUUGGGGAUGAGCUCGCGGCCUAUCAGCUUGUUGGUGGGGUAAUGGCCUACCAAGGCGGCGACGGGUAGCCGGCCUGAGAGGGUGGACGGCCACAGUGGGACUGAGAUACGGCCCAGACUCCUACGGGAGUCAGCAGUGGGGAAUAUUGCACAAUGGGCGGAAGCCUGAUGCAGCGACGCCGCGUGGGGGAUGACGGCCUUCGGGUUGUAAACUCCUUUCGACCGCGAGGAAGCCACCUGGUUGGAAGGGUGGUGACGGUAGUGGUAGAAGAAGCACCGGCUAACUACGUG